AAAUUGAAGAGUUUGAUCAUGGCUCAGAUUGAACGCUGGCGGCAGGCCUAACACAUGCAAGUCGAACGGUAACAGGAAUCAGCUUGCUGAUUCGCUGACGAGUGGCGGACGGGUGAGUAAUGUCUGGGAAACUGCCUGAUGGAGGGGGAUAACUACUGGAAACGGUAGCUAAUACCGCAUAACGUCGCAAGACCAAAGAGGGGGACCUUCGGGCCUCUUGCCAUCGGAUGUGCCCAGAUGGGAUUAGCUAGUAGG
rnacentral:rRNA from 1 species